GCUAGAGAGGGAGCCUUUUUCGUUUUGAGGGGAAUGUUGUCUGGCUCGGGGUUCUCUUUAUUUCUAUGCCUCUCUCUAUCCCCCCCUCCUCAAUCUCUCUAGCUUUGAUUGGAUCGAGAGAAGAUCGAUCGAUCGAUCCAAGAAGAGUUCUGAGAAGGGGGAUGAAGAGAGUAGACGUAUGUGUGUAGAUCUCGGACCAGGCUUCAUUCCCCCCAAAUACAAGGGCUCCCAUGAUCUCUGCCUC